rnacentral:lncRNA from 1 species
UCUAACUCCCAUUGAGAUUGCUUCUUACCAGACAUGGGGAAAAGCUGCCUUUCCUGAAAGGGGAGGAGGGCACUGUCCUUUCAGACAAAGCUUGUACAAAUUCCUGAACCGCAAAUUUGCUAAAGUGACCGUAUAUAUUAUAUUCAUAAUUUAAAUGAUUAUUUAUGGUCAGAUACAUAUUGUUAAACUUGAAAAUGUUUUAUUACAUUACAUCAAAUAAAGUUUAUUUGUAGCUGAAA